rnacentral:rRNA from 1 species
GUGCCAGCCGCCGCGGUAAUACGUAGGUGGCAAGCGUUGUCCGGAUUUAUUGGGUUUAAAGGGUGCGUAGGCGGUCUUUUAAGUCAGUGCUGAAAUACUCCAGCUUAACUGGAGGGGUGGCAUUGAUACUGGAAGACUUGAGUGUAGUCGAGGUAGGCGGAAUUGACGGUGUAGCGGUGAAAUGCUUAGAUAUCGUCAAGAACACCGAUAGUGAAGACAGCUUACUAGGCUACAACUGACGCUGAGGCACGAAAGUGUGGGGAUCAAACAGGAUUAGAAACCCUCGUAGUCC